rnacentral:rRNA from 1 species
CAAGUCGAGCGGAAGGCCCUUCGGGGUACUCGAGCGGCGAACGGGUGAGUAACACGUGAGCAACCUGCCCCUGACUCUGGGAUAAGCCCGGGAAACUGGGUCUAAUACCGGAUAUGACCGCCUCCGGCAUCGGAUGGUGGUGGAAAGUUUUUCGGUCGGGGAUGGGCUCGCGGCCUAUCAGCUUGUUGGUGGGGUAGUGGCCUACCAAGGCGACGACGGGUAGCCGGCCUGAGAGGGCGACCGGCCACACUGGGACUGAGACACGGCCCAUACUCCUACCGGAGGGAGCAGUGGGGAAUAUUGCGCAAUGGGCGGAAGCCUGACGCAGCGACGCCGCGUGGGGGAUGACGGCCUUCGGGUUGUAAACCUCUUUCAGCAGGGACGAAGUUGACGUGUACGUGCAGAAGAAGCGCGGGCUAACUACGUGCCAGCAGCCGCGUGUAAUACGUAGGGCGCGAGCGUUGUCGGGAAUUAUUGGGCGUAAAGAGCUCGUAGGUGGCUGGUCGCGUCUGCCGUGAAAGCCCGCAGCUUAACUGCGGGUCUGCGGUGGAUACGGGCCGGCUAGAGGUAGGUAGGGGCAAGUGGAAUUCCUGGUGUAGCGGUGAAAUGCGCAGAUAUCAGGAGGAACACCGGUGGCGAAGGCGGCUUGCUGGGCCUUACCUGACGCUGAGGAGCGAAAGCGUGGGGAGCGAACAGGAUUAGAUACCCUGGUAGUCCACGCUGUAAACGUUGGGCGCUAGGUGUGGGACCCUUCCACGGGUUCCGUGCCGGAGCUAACGCAUUAAGCGCCCCGCCUGGGGAGUACGGCCGCAAGGCUAAAACUCAAAGGAAUUGACGGGGGCCCGCACAAGCGGCGGAGCAUGUUGCUUAAUUCGACGCAACGCGAAGAACCUUACCAAGGUUUGACAUCACCCGGACCGCUCCAGAGAUGGGGCUUCCCUUUUGGGCUGGGUGACAGGUGGUGCAUGGCGUCGUCAGCUCGUGUCGUGAGAUGUUGGGUUAAGUCCCGCAACGAGCGCAACCCUUGCUCCAUGUUGCCAGCAACACCUUCGGGUGGUUGGGGACUCAUGGGGGACUGCCGGGGUCAACUCGGAGGAAGGUGGGGAUGACGUCAAGUCAUCAUGCCCCUUAUGUCUUGGGCUGCAAACAUGCUACAAUGGCCGGUACAGAGGGUUGCGAUACCGUGAGGUGGAGCGAAUCCCUAAAAGCCGGUCUCAGUUCGG